rnacentral:tRNA from 3 species
GCGUCGUUAGCUCAAUUGGAAGCAGCAAGGAGCUUUUAACUCCAAGGUUGUGGGUUCAAGUCCCAUGCGAUGCACCA